rnacentral:rRNA from 1 species
UACGGGAGGCAGCAGUGGGGAAUAUUGCACAAUGGGCGCAAGCCUGAUGCAGCCAUGCCGCGUGUAUGAAGAAGGCCUUCGGGUUGUAAAGUACUUUCAGUCGUGAGGAAGGUGUUAAGGUUAAUAACCUUAGCAAUUGACGUUAGCGACAGAAGAAGCACCGGCUAACUCCGUGCCAGCAGCCGCGGUAAUACGGAGGGUGCGAGCGUUAAUCGGAAUUACUGGGCGUAAAGGGCACGCAGGCGGUUAAUUAAGUUGGAUGUGAAAUCCCCGGGCUUAACCUGGGAAUGGCAUUCAAGACUGGUUAGCUAGAGUCUUGUAGAGGGGGUAGAAUUCCGAUGUGUAGCGGUGAAAUGCGUAGAGAUGUGGAGGAAUACCGGUGGCGAAGGCGGCCCCUGGGACAAAGACUGACGCUCAUGUGCGGAAGCGUGGGGAGCAAACAGGGAUUAGAUACC